rnacentral:SRP_RNA from 2 species
GCUGGGCAUGGUGGCGCAUGCCUGUAAUUCCAGCUACUUGGGAGGCUGAGGCAGGAUAAUUGCUUGAACCUGGGAGGCGGAGGUUGCAGUGAGCCGAGAUUGCACCACUGCACUCCAGCCUGGGCGACAGAGCGAGACCCUGUCUCCA